CAGAGUUUACAACUCCCAAACCCAAAUGUGAACAUACCAAUCGUUGCUUCGGCGGACUCGUCCCAGCGUCCGGGUGGCCUUGCGCCGCCCGCGGCCUGGAACCAGGCGACCGCCGGAGGCCAUUCAAACUCUUUGUAUUACCAGUAUCUUCUGAAUCCGCCGCAAGGCAAAACAAAUGAAUCA
rnacentral:misc_RNA from 1 species